CUCAUACAUGUAAACUUGUACAUCAUUAUACAUGUGGGUUAACAUUUUCACCUCGAAGCCCACACAGCAUACUUAGAUAAUCUUCCAUCCUCUGAAGAAACACCCACUAUAGACCAGUAAAGAAGAGCAGCUCAAAGAAAAAGACAAAAAAAACAACCUCCCCGUUGGUCUGAAAUUGCUGCCCACUUGACUUUGCAAACACUCGACAGCCCGGACCGACCAGGGGGUUUCCACAUGACCUUUGAGCCUCAUCUGAUGACUUGCUGCAUGUGAGAGGAUGUCCCACUUGACACAUUCACUUGGAAUGCUAGAUAACCAGGAGCGAUGCCUGACUAAUUGUUUGGAAUGUUAUCUGACUAAUGUAUUAUAUGACUCUUCUUCACACAAAACGCACGUCAGCCUUUGCUCAGUAGUGUUGGUGAACUGUAACCAAGAAUGUGCUUCUAAUUGGACCAUUAUUUAACAUGAAUGCAACGCAGGGUUGGUGUGUUUACUUACUAUAAGGGAAAAACCCAUUCUCUGGACUUUUUUACUAUCACUUGUUCAACAACAGGAAAGUCCAUGUAUUUCCUGUUGAUGUUAAUAUUCAUCAGCAACUCGAUGGUAGAUAGAUAGAUAAAAGCCAUCUUUAUUCAAAGGCCUGUGUGGGCUCUGAAUUGGAGGUGACUAAAAGCUGACAGCGUUACACCCACCUGCACUGUAGUUUCAUACAGUAACAGCUGCUCAGCCAUGCAAAUAUCAGGAAACAUUCAUGUUUCAGUGGUUGAAUAACAGUCCACGGGACAAGUAGGCCUACUUCAUUAGAAAAGGUUUUUUUUGUGUGUGCAUGUGCGUGUGUGUCAGGUAUAUUGGAGGAUUCUUUUGUUUUCACAGUUAACAAAGGGGGGGGAAAAACGACUUCAGUCCACUUUGUUUUUUCCCACAGAAUUCCCCUUACUCCGCUCUUUAUGUUUACAGCGUCAUCAAGGGAUCAUUGUGAUUGUAUCCUGUUGUACCAUGCAAAAGAACUCAAAAAAAAGACGCCUUAUCAACUGGAGCUAUGAAGAUUUUUAAAUGUAGUUGCCGUGGUGAAUAGUACAACUAAGUGCAUAUAUUUGAGGCCUUUCCUUCAUUAGGAAACAGGCAAAAAUUAAGUCAUUUAAGCUUUGCGGCUCAGUAUCACAGAUGGGUUCUCAUUUAAGAGAACCCGGGUUUCCUAAUAACGGUUUAACCAGAUAUGAACUGUAACUGUGGUUCUUCCACUCAGGCGAUGACUAGUUUUGAGGACCCAUUGGAGAUCAGCGACUCAGUGCUGGUGCUGCCUUGUUCUUGCUGAGCUUCAUGAAAGCUGCAUUCAAUGGCAAUUAAUGUCCUGGGAUCAUCUAAAGGAUAAAUAAAGGGACAAUUAGAAGAAUUAUUAAUAUCAUUUUAUCUGUACUUAGUUUACCAAAUGUCAUGUAUCGUGAGCCAGGGGUUGUACUCAGGACAAGCUUUUACUCUGUACUGUUCAAUUACCUGUGGGGCUUUCCGUUGGGGGUAAGGGUUUCACUAUUUUCCUCUUUCUUCUCUGGUUGUGUUUCACAGCGACAAUGAUGAUGAAGAUGGUAAUGGUGAUGCAAAAUGUUGUCAUAGCUAUGAUCAAAAUUAAGACCAACGGCCCUGUUUGAUUUGCGUCAUCUGUGAGAAAACAACAAGAAAUGAAAUUUAGCUUUGAAUAAAAGAAUAAAAGAGAGAGGCAGAGAAAGAGAGGGGGGUCGUACCUGGCCUGGGAUUGAUCACGGAGCCUUCUGUGAUACACUGAAUGUCAGAAGAUGCAUUUCCUUUGGCAACAAUCCUUUGAUUUGGAUGUGGACACCUUUGAGAGACAAUUAUAGAGUAAUAGAUUAAUUCAUGUGACUUGUCUUUCUCUCCAUCAAUUCUACAGAAAAACCUGACAGCAGUGGCAGAAACAGUGUGACAGAGGUUUAGCUUACCUGGUACUCCACGGUUGACAAUUUUUUUGGCUUUUGUCGCUAAAAGUUCCCUGUGGACACGGUCUGCAAGAGCCUGUGAAGAUAGUCUUUCAGUUCAUCUGCCAAUUGACUUAAAUGAAAAAAGGAACAUUGGUCAUUUCCACAAGCAAGGCCAUCUCUGCAGCCGCACGUUGUGUCCUUUGUGGCUGUGCAGUCUUCCAAGUGGACUUGAGCACCUACCAAAAGAUAGUUUUACUUAUCUGAAGGCUUUUGGCUUCAGUGUAUAAUAGCCAGGAUCACAAGGUUCACAGAGUGUUCUAGGAUCUGGGCCACACUCCUUGAUCAGGCGGUUCCCUAUGGAAACAGGACGCGUGAGAACCACAAGCCAACAAGAUAGCCACCGAUUGGCAUCAUCAACUCAACAAACAAAUGACAUUUGCAAAUUUAGAUAAUAUCUUUGUAAUGAUUGGAUCAGUGUGAGCAGCAUCCACAUCUUGUGGGAUUAGGUGAAAAACCACUGAAACUAUAUUUGGUUGCAAGCAGUCACCACAGAGGAACUGCUUCAUGGCCUGGAAUAUGAUGUGCUUUUUUUUUAAAUUCACAAUUACAGAACAACGUGGCAUAGAGGGAUCUCUGCUUCUUCUUUUUAAAAAGAAAAUCAAAUAUACUGCACACUCUAAAUCUAUAG